UAUGUAGGUGGCAAGCGUUGUCCGGAAUUAUUGGGCGUAAAGCGCGCGCAGGCGGUCCUUUAAGUCUGAUGUGAAAGCCCACGGCUCAACCGUGGAGGGUCAUUGGAAACUGGGGGACUUGAGUGCAGAAGAGGAGAGCGGAAUUCCACGUGUAGCGGUGAAAUGCGUAGAGAUGUGGAGGAACACCAGUGGCGAAGGCGGCUCUCUGGUCUGUAACUGACGCUGAGGCGCGAAAGCGUGGGGAGCAAACAGG
rnacentral:rRNA from 1 species